rnacentral:tRNA from 1 species
GGAUCGGUAGCUCAGUUGGUAGAGCGCCGGAUUGAAGUCCCGGAGGCCGCAGGGUCAGUACCUGCCCGAUCCA